AGAGUUUGAUCCUGGCUCAGGACGAACGCUGGCGGCGUGCCUAAUACAUGCAAGUCGAGCGAGCGGAACCAACAGAUUUACUUCGGUAAUGACGUUGGGAAAGCGAGCGGCGGAUGGGUGAGUAACACGUGGGGAACCUGCCCCUAAGUCUGGGAUACCAUUUGGAAACAGGUGCUAAUACCGGAUAAUAAAGCAGAUCGCAUGAUCAGCUUUUGAAAGGCGGCGUAAGCUGUCGCUAAGGGAUGGCCCCGCGGUGCAUUAGCUAGUUGGUAAGGUAACGGCUUACCAAGGCGACGAUGCAUAGCCGAGUUGAGAGACUGAUCGGCCACAUUGGGACUGAGACACGGCCCAAACUCCUACGGGAGGCAGCAGUAGGGAAUCUUCCACAAUGGACGCAAGCCUGAUGGAGCAACGCCGCGUGAGUGAAGAAGGUUUUCGGAUCGUAAAGCUCUGUUGUUGGUGAAGAAGGAUAGAGGUAGUAACUGGCCUUUAUUUGACGGUGAUCAACCAGAAAGUCACGGCUAACUACGUGCCAGCAGCCGCGGUAAUACGUAGGUGGCAAGCGUUGUCCGGAUUUAUUGGGCGUAAAGCGAGCGCAGGCGGAAAAAUAAGUCUAAUGUGAAAGCCCUCGGCUUAACCGAGGAACUGCAUCGGAAACUGUUUUUCUUGAGUGCAGAAGAGGAGAGUGGAACUCCAUGUGUAGCGGUGGAAUGCGUAGAUAUAUGGAAGAACACCAGUGGCGAAGGCGGCUCUCCGGUCUGCAACUGACGCUGAGGCUCGAAAGCAUGGGUAGCGAACAGGAUUAGAUACCCUGGUAGUCCAUGCCGUAAACGAUGAGUGCUAAGUGUUGGGAGGUUUCCGCCUCUCAGUGCUGCAGCU
rnacentral:rRNA from 1 species